rnacentral:rRNA from 1 species
UACGAAGGGGGCUAGCGUUGCUCGGAAUCACUGGGCGUAAAGGGUGCGUAGGCGGGUUUUUAAGUCAGGGGUGAAAUCCUGGAGCUCAACUCCAGAACUGCCUUUGAUACUGAAGAUCUUGAGUCCGGGAGAGGUGAGUGGAACUGCGAGUGUAGAGGUGAAAUUCGUAGAUAUUCGCAAGAACACCAGUGGCGAAGGCGGCUCGCUGGGACGGUACUGACACUGAGACGCGAAAGCGUGGGGAGCAAACAGG